CGAAGGGGGCUAGGCGUUGCUCGGAAUCACUGGGCGUAAAGGGUGCGUAGGCGGGUCUUUAAGUCAGGGGUGAAAUCCUGGAGCUCAACUCCAGAACUGCCUUUGAUACUGAAGUAUCUUGAGUUCGGGAGAGGUGAGUGGAACUGCGAGUGUAGAGGUGAAAUUCGUAGAUAUUCGCAAGAACACCAGUGGCGAAGGCGGCUCACUGGCCCGGUACUGGACGCUGACGGUGCG
rnacentral:rRNA from 1 species